rnacentral:rRNA from 1 species
UACGGAGGGUGCAAGCGUUAAUCGGAAUUACUGGGCGUAAAGCGCACGCAGGCGGUUUGUUAAGUCAGAUGUGAAAUCCCCGGGCUCAACCUGGGAAAUGCAUUUGAUACUGGCAAGCUUGAGUUUCGUAGAGGGGGGGAGAAUUCCUGGUGUAGCGGUGAAAUGCGUAGAGAUCAGGAGGAAUACCAGUGGCGAAGGCGGCCGCCUGGGCGAAGACUGACGCUCAGGUGCGAAAGCGAGGGGAGCAAACAGG